AACGCGAAGAACCUUACCCAGACUUGACAUGCGAGUGGUAGGAACCCGAAAGGGAACCGACCCGCAAGGGAGCUCGUACAGGUGUUGCACGGCUGUCGUCAGCUCGUGUCGUGAGAUGUUGGGUUAAGUCCCGCAACGAGCGCAACCCUCGGGGUCUGUUGUAUCUCUCAGAUCCCACUGCCGAGAGAAACUCGGAGGAAGGUGGGGACGAAGUCAAGUCCGCGUGGCCUUUAUGUCUGGGGCUACACGCACGCUACAAUCGCCGGUCACAGCGGGUCGCGACAACGCAAGUUGAAGCUAAUCCCUUAAAACCGGCGUCAGUUCAGAUCGAAGGCUGCAACCCGCCUUCGUGAAGUCGGAGUUGCUAGUAACCGCGGGUCAGCACACCGCGGUGAAUAUGUUCCCGGGCCUUGUA
rnacentral:rRNA from 1 species